UGUGUCUAGGGAGGCAAUUCUUCAUGAUAACGUUACCUAACCUCCUACCCUAGGCUCUGGCCCGGGUUUCACUUAACUGGUUAAGCGUUGCUUGUUUGCUCCUAAGCGGCCGGCGGCUGGCAACCACUGGAGAAUUUCAGGGGGCCAGAAAAAAACCAUCUUGGCCCUCUUUCCGCGAAACCCUAGAGCGGCAGCAUGCGUGGCGUUGUGCAAAGUGGAGCGACAAAAAAUUUUGAGUUAGGGGAUGGUGGUAAAUUUUCGGCUUUAUGGUGAGUAUAGGAACUGGAGAUCUGACCAUCGGUGUUGGACAGUGCAUUUACCACUGCUGGAAUGAAUUUAUACAGAAUAUAAACUGGAACUCUUGAGGAUUUGGGAUGAUUCGGGAGGAUUUGGGGAAAACGACUCUGAUCAACUUGAGUAACUGACAAAUGCACGCCACUACUUGAUGAAUCCCUCAACCUUGGGCCCAGUUUUGAAAGAGAAAGAAUUCACAACUGUUCAGAAUCAUGAUAUUCAUUCCUCACCCCACCCAUCCCUCACUUUAUCGCCCAAUACUUGUCCCAGGUCGGCUUUAUUGCCCCUUCUCUCCUACAGUUAAUAGUAACCUAAGUACAGUAAAGAUGAUCAUGGUCUUUCAUGUUAUGGUAUGUUUGUAGGAAGUCCCUCCCCAUGAAUGUAUGUACUAUACGUAUGUAGCAUUAAACAAAGAAGCGGAUGAAAAAAAAAGAUAAAAAAUAAAAAGCGAGCGGAUCCAGACCCAAACCGAACAACUCACAUAUAUUAAAAAGAAGAAGAAAAAGAGGACGAAGAGGAAGAGGAAAUAUAUAAACACUAUCCCCGCUGCACAUACUCCCUCGCCUCCUGCGGCGUAAGUCGCUUCCCCGUCUUAUCAUAGAACCGCGAACUAAUCCGCAGCCAUUUCUCCUCAUCAUACUGCGCCGCCAGCCUAUUGAGGAGCAAUAUCUCCUCGAGGCUGAAAUUCUCGUCAACAUAGAGGAUUUUCUUCUUGUGGGGAGUUCGUGUGUAGGUGGACGUGUAGUUGUCGGCAACCUAUCAAUCAAAUGUCAAUGAAGAAAGGAGAAGUUGCUUUGGUUUCAAAUAUAG
rnacentral:sRNA from 1 species